rnacentral:sRNA from 1 species
GCAGGGUGUGCGGAACAUCAAGGCCACCGAUCUGCAGCCCAUCUACAUCUCUGUGCAGCCACCUUCACUGCAUGUGCUGGUGUGUGCUGGGCAGGGUUGGGGGCUGGGGGCCAGGGCAUGCCAGGCUCUGAUUGCCACCCCCUUUUUAGGAGCAGCGGCUGCGGCAGCGCAACACUGAAACGGAGGAGAGCCUGGUGAAGCGGCUGGCUGCUGCCCAGGCCGACAUGGAGAGCAGCAAGGAGCCCGGCCUGUUUGAUGUGGUCAUCAUUAACGACAGCCUGGACCAGGCCUACGCAGAGCUGAAGGAGGCGCUCUCUGAGGAAAUCAAGAAAGCUCAAAGGACCGGCGCCUGAGGCUUGCUGUCUGUUCUUGGCACCCCGGGCCCAUACAGGACCAGGGCAGCAGCACUGAGCCACCCCCUUGGCAGGCGAUACGGCAGCUCUGCGCCCUUGGCCAGCAUGUGGAGUGGAGGGGAUGCUGCCCCUGUGGUUGGAACAUCCUGGGGUGACCCCCGACCUAGCCUCGCUGGGCUGUCCCCUGUCCCUAUCUCUCACUCUGGACCCAGGGCUGACAUCCUAAUAAAAUAACU